rnacentral:rRNA from 1 species
GACGAAGGGGGCUAGCGUUGUUCGGAAUUACUGGGCGUAAAGCGAGUGUAGGUGGUUGUCCAAGUUGGAUGUGAAAGCCUUGAGCUCAACUCAAGAAAUUGCAUUCAGGACUGGAUGGCUAGAGGACCGGAGAGGAUAGUGGAAUUCCCAGUGUAGUGGUGAAAUACGUAGAGAUUGGGAAGAACACCAGUGGCGAAGGCGGCUA